rnacentral:lncRNA from 13 species
AGAGAGUAAGACAAUCUGGGUUCAAAUUCUAAUUCCAUCACUUCCCAGUCGUGUAAUCUUGGGCAAGUCGCAGGUUGGCACCCAGCUCAUGGGGUGCUGCGUGAGAGGUGAAUGGAGCCAGUCUGUGAGGGUUCAGUGCAGUGCCGGGACAGUGUCCAUGUUGGCUGGGCGUGAGCCAUGCUUCCCUUCUGCAAUCACAUUAACCCAGCUCACAGCUGAGCCAACCCCCCCUGGCAGGGAGCGUUCUGUCACCUAGAGGAUUGUCUUGCCCUCCUCUCUCGGCCUUUCUGACUUGGAGCUAGUGUGCUGACUGUGCUCAUCUCAGAAAACCCAUAUGGUAUUCAGCUCCUUGCCAAUCUCACUUUGAACUGGGGGAAAUUUUUGGAUUUUUCUGAAAUAGUAGGAGAGGCCAUUACAGCUUUGGUGAAUCAAGGCUGGCAAGAUGUUGGCAGAGCCUCUGAGGAUCUGUCUCUCCCCUUUGCCAUGUCCACCUCUCCUUCCCUGGGCUGUUAUGACGAACUCCUCACAUCUGGAGACUUCACAAGGACCUGCUGCCUGACACACGGCACCCGAUCGGCUGGUGCCACACUGGGGAGGGUCGACUGCUUUACUCGGCCACCGAUUCAAACGCUGACAUCAUCCCUAAGCACCGUCACAGAAAAACCCAGAAAUGAGGAAACUGAGACUUUAAGAGUCCAAAUAUCUUAGUGUUCUCGAGCCAAAGGUGCUGAGUGAAGGAGACAUGGUCUCUACCAUGUCUCUACCCUUGAGGAGCUCGCAGUCUUUCUGGGUAGACAGACGGUGAGCAGGUGCCGGGUGUGGUAAGUGCUGUCAUGGAUGGGUGAGAUGCCGUGCAUUGAGAAGGGAGUGAUUUUAUGCCAGGGGUGUGCCUGUGAGGACAUCACAAAAGAGGGGACAUUUGUGUUUGGGCUUAAAGUCUUAUUUGGGUCACUAGAAUAGACCUAGAAGGCAUUCCAAGCAAUGGGAAGACCAUGCAAAGACUCAGAUAAGAAAGGGCAUGGCGUGCUGGGAAAAUGGUGAGAAUUCCCCUGUGGAUGGAGCAAGGGGAAGAGGGAGGAGGGAAGGGAAAGCCGAGGGAUGGAGGCAAAGACAACAGUCUUUGGCCUUUGUGUUAAAAUAAAUUCUCACAGCAGGAUUCUUGCUGAUGUGCA